AGAGUUUGAUCAUGGCUCAGAGUGAACGCUGGCGGCGUGCUUAACACAUGCAAGUCGAGCGAAUUUUGGCAGCGUAUCGCCAGAGUUAGCGGCAGACGGGUGAGUAAUACUUGGGUAAUCUACCCUAGAGUGGGAAACAACCUGCCGAAAGGCGGGCUAAUGUCCCAUAAGACCACAGGAUGGCAUCAUCCAGGGGUCAAAGCUCCGCAAGGGGCGCUUUUGGAGGAACCCGAGUCCUAUCAUGGUAGUUGGUGAGGUAACGGCUCACCAAGCCUUUGACGGGUAGCCGGCCUGAAAGGGUGAUCGGCCACACUGGCACUGAGACACGGGCCAGACUCCUACGGGAGGCAGCAGUGGGGAAUUUUGGACAAUGGGGGCAACCCUGAUCCAGCGACGCCGCGUGGAGGAUGAAGGUCUUCGGAUUGUAAACUCCUUUUAGAGGGGAUGAAUAUGCCGGCGAAUAGCCGGCAUUGACAGUACUCUUUGAAUAAGCCACGGCUAACUACGUGCCAGCAGCCGCGGUAAUACGUAGGUGGCAAGCGUUACUCGGAAUCACUAGGCGUAAAGCGCAGGUAGGCGGUUCGGUAAGUCUUUUGUGAAAGCUCCUGGCUCAACUGGGAGAGGUCAAAGGAAACUACCGGGCUAGAGUGUGGUAGGGGAUACUGGAAUUCCUGGUGUAGCGGUGAAAUGCGUAGAUAUCAGGAGGAAUACCUAUGGCGAAAGCAGGUAUCUGGGCCAUCACUGACGCUGAGCUGCGAAAGCUAGGGGAGCAAACAGGAUUAGAUACCCUAGUAGUCC
rnacentral:rRNA from 1 species